rnacentral:piRNA from 1 species
UAGGCGAUGCUUGCUAUGGACUCC